AGAGACUCUGCGAGCCGCCGCCAUGACCAGCAGCAUGUGAAGACGCCGAGACUCCCAGAUCCUAGCAGUGACCCAAGGUCUCCGAAGAAGAUGUCUCCAUCUGGAUAAUGGCAACACUGACCUCUGGGCAAGAUGCCCCAUUUUGUGACACCUGCCACCAGGACCCGGCCCAGACUGUGGACAAACAGCAGGACGUCGGGGAAUUGAUUGCACUCCUUUUGCCUAGACAAAAUCUGACAGUGUUUGAUGACUAAGAUGUAUCAGUUUAACAGCCCCAUCCCAAGACUACAAGCACCUUGAUAGCUCAUUAAUGAGUUUCCUGUUAAAAAUACAGACAGGUAUGCCUCAUUCACAAACUUCAUGGUACAGGUUUUAGAUAUAACUCUGGAAGUUCAAAGUUUUAAAUUCAGUUUUGAUAAACUAAUACAACAUUGACUACAAAGAGUUCUUAAGAGUCCUUACAUUUCUAUGGCUUUUUAACUCUUUUGCUGUGAUGUAAAUCUAUUCCAGCUGUCUUACAGAUACCUGCAGGUUCCUGGGAGAAGUUCUGCUACUGUAUCAAAAAAUCUGGUCUGAUAAAAAGCUAACACUCUCCAGAGCCCAUUUCUGACCCCACGUAUUUUUUGAGCACAUUUUGCAGAUUCAAUCUUCCCGCCUGACCUCCAGAGAAACAGCCGAUGCCAUGGCUUCUGUACUCCUGAUUUGGUAUGCCAUUCCCCCAAGCUCCUGGACCAUCACUGCUGCAACCUGCCUCCUCAGCUCCCUCAAGGAACAGACGCCUGGGUCCCGCCGCCAUGUGUGACUCCCGUUUCCCCCUCCCCACUUUGCCCCUUGUCAGCUUGAAGCAGUCUCGGGAAUUCAGCGUUCUUGUUCCCCCACUUGCUACCCAUAACUCACCUUUUUAUAAUAAUCAAAACAGAGGAAUGUCAGUAUUCUGACCCACCCCUUGGAAACGCGCCCCUUGGGGCUGCCCUGCAUCCUGAUGUAAAAGCCUCACUAUGAGGAAAAACCCGCUUUUCUUUCUCUCUCUUCUCUGCCCCCCUCUCCAUUCCCACUAGGUGUGCACACCUCCGCUUUCCCUCCAUUCUCUUUCUUCCUGUCUCCCU